rnacentral:rRNA from 2 species
UACGUAGGUGGCAAGCGUUGUCCGGAUUUACUGGGCGUAAAGGGCGUGCAGGCGGUUUGUUAAGUCUAGGGUGAAAGCUCCCGGCUCAACUGGGAGAGGUCCUUGGAUACUGGCGAACUUGAGGGAUGCAGAGGAAAGUGGAAUUCCCGGUGUAGUGGUGAUAUGCGUAGAUAUCGGGAGGAACACCAGUGGCGAAGGCGGCUUUCUGGGCAUUUCCUGACGCUGAGACGCGAAAGCGUGGGGAGCGAACCGG